rnacentral:rRNA from 1 species
AUUGAACGCUGGCGGCAGGCCUAACACAUGCAAGUCGAGCGGAGCGGCGGACGGGUGAGUAAUACCUAGGAAUCUGCCUGGUCGUGGUGGAUAAGGUCCGGAAACGGGCGCUAAUACCGCAUACUAUUAGAUGAGCAUAGGUGGGAUUAGCUAGUUGGUGGGGUAAAGGCCUACCAAGGCGACGAUCCGUAGCUGGUCUGAGAGGAUGAUCAGUCACACUGGAACUGAGACACGGUCCAGACUCCUACGGGAGGCAGCAGUGGGGAAUAUUUGACAAUGGGCGAAAGCCUGAUGCAGCCAUGCCGCGUGUGUGAAGAAGGUCUUCGGGUUGUAAAGCACUUUAAGUUGGGAGGCGUUACCCGCAGAAUAAGCACCGGCUAACUUCGUGCCAGCAGCCGCGGUAAUUC